rnacentral:rRNA from 1 species
CAAACCCNCGAACACNNNNNCAACACUCUCGGGGUCGCGCCGUUGGAUGGCNNGGNGCAUCCCCCGUCSCGCUCCCUUCCCGACGACGCACCCUCGCGUGGGUCGUUCGGGCUAACGAACAUUUCGGCGCGGCAUGCAAAGGGAAAAACUACCACGAGAAUGCUUGCUCUCGCGAGGCAUCGUUCGCGGUGCAUUGCGGGCGGCUUGNNCCUCUUGAACAACUAAAUGACUCUCGGCAACGGAUAUCUCGGCUCUNGCAUCGAUGAAGAACGUAGCGAAAUGCGAUACUUGGUGUGAAUUGCAGAAUCCCGUGAACCGAGUCUUUGAACGCAAGUUGCGCCCAAAGCCACUAGGUCGAGGGCACGCCUGCCUGGGCGUCACGCAUCACGUNGCCCCCUCCCCNCAAUUUCCCUUGCGAMGGCGGGCGGAUCAGAGGGGACGGACAUUGGCCUCCCGUGCUCUUACUGUGCGGCUGGCUUAAAUAUGAUUCCUCGUCGAUGGAUGUCACGACUAGUGGUGGUUGAAUCAAUCGCGCGAUGUCGUGCGUGACCCCGUUCGUUCGCGGAAUCAUUACUGACCCAMCGGUGCCAAGCACUUUCGAAC